GACGAACGCUGGCGGCGUGCUUAACGCAUGCAAGUCGAACGAGGUCCAAGCAGUGGCAAUACUGCGGACGACCUAGUGGCGAACGGGUGAGUAACACGUGAGGAACCCACCCCGGAGACCGGGAUAAGCCCUCGAAAGGGGGUCUAAUACCGGAUGCCCUCCCCGGAUCGCAUGGUCUGGUGAGGAAAUGGAUUCCGCUCCGGGACGGCCUCGCGGCCUAUCAGCUUGUUGGUGGGGUAACGGCCCACCAAGGCGUAGACGGGUAGCUGGUCUGAGAGGACGGUCAGCCACACUGGGACUGAGACACGGCCCAGACUCCUACGGGAGGCAGCAGCGGGGAAUAUUGCGCAAUGGGCGAAAGCCUGACGCAGCAACGCCGCGUGAGGGAUGAAGGCUCUCGGGUUGUAAACCUCUUUCAGCAGGGACGAAAUCAGACGGUACCUGCAGAAGAAGCCCCGGCCAACUACGUGCCAGCAGCCGCGGUAACACGUAGGGGGCGAGCGUUGUCCGGAUUUAUUGGGCGUAAAGAGCUCGUAGGCGGUUCGAUAAGUCGGGUGUGAAAACUCUGGGCUCAACUCAGAGACGCCACCCGAUACUGUUGUGACUUGAGUCCGGUAGGGGAGUAUGGAAUUCCCGGUGUAGCGGUGAAAUGCGCAGAUAUCGGGAGGAACACCAGUGGCGAAGGCGGUACUCUGGGCCGGAACUGACGCUGAGGAGCGAAAGCGUGGGUAGCGAACAGGAUUAGAUACCCUGGUAGUCCACGCCGUAAACGUUGGGCACUAGGUGUGGGUCUCAACCAACGGGAUCCGUGCCGCAGCUAACGCAUUAAGUGCCC
rnacentral:rRNA from 1 species